UUCGACGCUGGCGGCAGGCCNAACACAUNAAACUCGAGCGGUAGCACAGGGAGCUUGCUCCUGGGUGACGACGGGCGGACGGNUGANUAAUGUCUGGGAAACUGCCUGAUGGAGGGGGAUAACUACUGGAAACGGUAGCUAAUACCGCAUAACGUCGCAAGACCAAAGAGGGGGACCUUCGGGCCUCUUGNCAUCAGAUGUGCCCAGAUGGGAUUAGCUAGUAGGUGGGGUAAUGGCUCACCUAGGCGACGAUCCCUAGCUGGUCUGAGAGGAUGACCAGNCACACUGGAACUGAGACACGGCCCAGACUCCUACGGGAGGCAGCAGUGGGGAAUAUUGCACAAUGGGCGCAAGCCUGAUGCAGCCAUGCCGCGUGUAUGAAGAAGGCCUUCGGGUUGUAAAGUACUUUCAGCGAGGAGGAAGGCGUGGAGGUUAAUAACCUCAUCGAGUGACGUUACUCGCAGNAGAAGC
rnacentral:rRNA from 1 species